ACCUGGCUGGAAGGGAUGGAACACACGCUCACCUGCGUCCCAAAGGGAAACCCAGCUCCAGCCUUGGUGUGUACCUGGAAUGGGGUGGUCUUUGACCUUGAAGUGCCACAGAAGGCAACCCAGAACCACACUGGAACCUACCGCUGCACAGCCACUAACCAGCUGGGCUCUGUCAGCAAAGACAUUGCUGUCAUUGUUCAA
rnacentral:lncRNA from 1 species